CACAAAUAAGAAUUUUUGGAGCACUUAGGAACAGUCGCAGUAAAAGGAGGAAACUUAAUUGAAUGAUGAGUAAUAUCAGAAUUAAUUUUUGUAGAUGGCACAAGAGUUGCUUGCCCUUUAGAACAGCACCUAUUAUUGUGUUUGUAGAAAAGAGAAAGAGAAGCAACAUUACAUUUUCAGUACCUAAAACUAUUAAAUUAUUAACUAUUAAACUAUUAAAACUUUUGAGUCCCUCCCUUUGAUGUGCCUGUUCUUAUUUUCCAUUAAUAACCUAUCAUCACCCUUUAAUCUAAACUUUUUUUUUUAUGUUAGCAACAUCUCUCUUCUUUUUUUCAUUUUGUCUGAUCAUUGAAGAUUUUAUUGUAAAUGCUCGUUGUUCUGGAUCAUCUUUAAAAAUUUAAAAAUUGAUAGGAGGUUGGUUUUUUAUGCCUCUAUACCAAAUUUUUUAUAUUUUUUACCUUUUCCUUUUUCUCCUAAUUGUAACCACUUUUCUGAUAAUUUCUGCUGUAGUACUUUUUUUCAAAAUUUAAUUUGUCUUUGCAAUUCAUUUAAAUUUAAUUUUCACUACCUAACAUUUUUUCCAAAUCCUCUUUACACAAAAUUAAACCACCAUCCUUUCCAAUUUUUAUUGUCAAAAACUUUUUCUCUUCGCUUCCUUUUGUUCCUUUAAUUCCUUUUCUAGGUUAUGCUUAUCCAUCUCAUCAAUUUUGUUCUACAAUAUAUUUGCUUUUUUUUCUUCUCUUUAAACUGAAAAUCAUUAAAAAUAGUAGAUGAUGCUAAUACUUUUCACACCGCUGUACAUACAUACAUAUAUACAUAGGUGGUGGUGAUAUAAUGAUUUGGUGUGCAAUUGGGUAUCAUGGUAAAUCAAAAAUUCAUUUUAUUGACGGUAAAAUGAAGGCUAAGGAUUAUCUUUUAAUUGUUCAAGAAUUUUUAAGACCUCAAGCAUCUGUAAUAAGUAGUGAAAAUUUUGCUUUUCAGCAAGAUAAUGCUAGCGUUUAUACAGCUAAGAUAGUAAUAUUUUUUUUACUUUCUUGUAUACCCUUUUCGAUUUUGCCUUGCUUGUAUAACUAGCCUUUCAAUUUCUUUCUGUGAUUUUCCAUCUAACCAAUCAGCUGUUUUGUUGUUGUUAAACAUGACACCAGCUGCAGCUACUGUUGUCAUGUUAGGUUUCAUUUUAAACCUGCAGUCAAAGGAAGCAAAGUCACGUUCAAACACAAUGUUAGUACGAGGGCAGUUUUCAGUUUUUUCAAGAGCAUCAACAUCCAGAUUGAAAUUUUUCCUCCAGACAAUUGAUCUUUUAACUGACACUGGAUCAUAACCAAACAUGAGUAACAGAUAUCCUCAAGACAUUCUUGUGUUAAAGCAUCAGAAAAUAAAUGAUGAAACACUUCAUCUUUAGCAAUUUUGUUGAUGCAUCAGAAGAGCGACUAAAAAAAUAAUUAAACAUUUGAAACCAAAUGGUAUUCAAAGAAUAAAUACGGCCCACUUCAAUAAUAUGAAAAAGAGGUUCUGAAAUAAGUUUAUUAAAAAUUCCUAGAGCUCUAGUUGAAGCGUGCAAAAUGAUGUUGUUAAUGUCUUGCUUAAUUGACUUAUGAAGGAAAUUUGAACCAUUAAAAACAAAUUCUUUAAGAUGAUCUUUAUAAAAAAAGGUUACCCCACCAAGUACAAAUAUAAUGUUAAAUCGAUGAUGCAGAAAUGAAACCAUAUAAUUUUUUAAAAACCUUUUUUAGCUUGUAAGUUUUGAAAGUUCGUAUAAAUUUCAAAGGUGCACGAGUUUUGGGAAUUUGUAAAACCACCAAAAAUACCACCUUCCUGCUAAACCACUUUUUCCCAUUCUAUGAUUGCUUUUUCAGUGUAUACCCCUAAAUUGUGGACAACAUGUAAACCACAAAAAAUAUGAUACAUAUGUGAAAUUUCUAAUUAUUCAUUUAAAGGAAGUCUAUCAUAGUUUUCUACAAUGAAAUGCAAAAUUGCUUCUCUCUAAUGUUUAAAUUGGUUAAAAUAACUUAAAUUAACAACAGUGCAAUUUGUCAUCAAAGAUUUGAAAGAAAAAAUGAGCUUUCUAAGAUCAUCUUCGUAGUUGUCCUAUUCAGGAGAAAGUAAAUGAGCCAUAUCAGUGAGUAAGUAUUUUAGCUCAGCAAAAUAAGAUUGUUCCUCGUGUAGCUACCAGAUGAUGCUGUGACUUGAAAACUACCAACCUCAUUAAAAUUGUACUUAGUACCAUCAGUAUGAAGAACAUUGUUUGUACUAUUCAACAUAGCCUCUCUAACUUGAGCUUUUGAUAAAAGGUUCAUUUCACUAAAAAAUUCAACAGCAAACGUUUUUUUUUUUUUUGGAAAAGCGCCACAUGAAAUUAUUUUUUGUUGUACAGUUGUAAUAACAGAUUCAACAUUAUUGGCUGAAAUAUUUUUAUUUAAGAGCUCAUAAUAUACGGAGCAAACUUCCUUAUUAUAUCUACCUCAAGAUGAAAGAUAUGUAAUUAAUGUUCAAAAACAUAAAUUACAUUUCUUUUAAAUAAAAAUUACUUAUUGCAAUAUUACAUAUUGCAAUAUAACAGACAACUUAAAAUAUUGCAAAUUAAAAAAUUACAAAUUUUAUGAAUCAGGAAAACAAGAUAAAUGAAGCGGAUUCCAAAUAGUUGAUUUUCUAGGGAAUAAACUAGAUGAAUAGAAAUUUUUGGAGCACUUAGGAACAAUAUAAUACUAUAAUAUUUUAUCAAAAAUAUUAACUUUGCAAUGAUUUGUUUAUAAGGUGUCCAUGAGAGGACAGUAUGAAAAGAUAAUCCAAGAUGAUGUAAACAAGAUGAUUGAAAUCCGUAUGUUUUUUAUAUCAUCAUCAAACACCUGUGAGAUAUUUGGGAUGAUUAUUAUUGUUGUUUGGAAACAGUAGAGGGUUGAGGAUAGAAGUUAACAUUGUUAGCAAAGUGGUGACACUAGUGUGAAUUAGCAGCAUUUAGUGCCACAGGUCUGUAUGUUUUGUGAUUGUGAUGUUACUGUUGUGAUGUUUUGUGUUUAUAGACAACUUGGCUUACCUCCUCGCUGGUGUCUAUUGUUAAAAAUGAUUAUUAGGUUGUUUCAAUACUGAAACUCUUUACUUUUAAUCAUCCACUAAAAGUCCAGAUAUAAAAUAAUAUUAACAAAUAGUAGUGUUUCUGCUGUUAUACUUACUAUUGCUGUAAGUACUCAAAAUUUCAGGAAGUUCAUUUACUUUGCAGUUCAAAACAUGAAAAAGGAGCAAUUAAUACAAAUGUCAAGAGGUCCAUAAAACGAUGGCUAAUGCAAUCUCCUGGCAGAAAUGGUGGUCGUGCAAAACGUGCCUUAAAAGCAGUAUUGGAUUACAGAGUAUUACAGAGCAUUGUAUUACAGAGUAUUACAGAGUAUUGAAUUUUGUAGUUUAUACUCAUUUUUACAGUUUAUUUUAUAUUUUAAUUCAUUUGUUUACUUUA